rnacentral:rRNA from 1 species
AGAGUUUGAUCCUGGCUCAGGACGAACGCUGGCGGCGUGCUUAACACAUGCAAGUCGAACGAGAAUCUGCUGAAGGAGGAUUCGUCCAACGGAAGUAGAGGAAAGUGGCGGACGGGUGAGUAACGCGUGAGGAACCUGCCUUGAAGAGGGGGACAACAGUUGGAAACGACUGCUAAUACCGCAUGACGCAUAGGGGUCGCAUGAUUUUUAUGCCAAAGAUUUAUCGCUUCAAGAUGGCCUCGCGUCUGAUUAGCUAGUUGGCGGGGUAACGGCCCACCAAGGCGACGAUCAGUAGCCGGACUGAGAGGUUGAACGGCCACAUUGGGACUGAGAUACGGCCCAGACUCCUACGGGAGGCAGCAGUGGGGAAUAUUGGGCAAUGGGCGCAAGCCUGACCCAGCAACGCCGCGUGAAGGAAGAAGGCUUUCGGGUUGUAAACUUCUUUUAAGAGGGAAGAGCAGAAGACGGUACCUCUAGAAUAAGCCACGGCUAACUACGUGCCAGCAGCCGCGGUAAUACGUAGGUGGCAAGCGUUGUCCGGAUUUACUGGGUGUAAAGGGCGUGCAGCCGGGUCUGCAAGUCAGAUGUGAAAUCCAUGGGCUCAACCCAUGAACUGCAUUUGAAACUGUAGAUCUUGAGUGUCGGAGGGGCAAUCGGAAUUCCUAGUGUAGCGGUGAAAUGCGUAGAUAUUAGGAGGAACACCAGUGGCGAAGGCGGAUUGCUGGACGAUAACUGACGGUGAGGCGCGAAAGUGUGGGGAGCAAACAGGAUUAGAUACCCUGGUAGUCCACACUGUAAACGAUGAAUACUAGGUGUGCGGGGACUGACCCCCUGCGUGCCGCAGUAAACUGUUACAAAAAUCUCUGUCAACGCAGAGGUUUUUGCUUAGCUGUUUAUAUCAGAAAUUACGCUGAUAGCUGAUACCGACAACUUUAGCAUAGUUAUCAUGGCUGCGGGCGGUAUCAUAAGUAUCACCAGCUGCUAUAUGUCCUUUGAUGCUCAACCCAUCAAUAUCGAUAAAGCCCAAGGUCAUGGCAAGUGUCUGUUUUUUAUCGUGGUACUGGAAGCCCAGACUGUAGGUGCGGCGGGCACCGGUCGGCACGAUAAAAUCGGCGCCGUCAAAAGGUAUUACCGAUUCAUCAUAGGCAUAACCGCCCAUGAUGGUAUAUUUAUCGCUCAGUUUAUGUUCUACGCCC